CUUACCAAAGUCAUGCCAUUUUAUUCCCUAUGAGAAUAUCCAACCACAUGAUACAUCGCCACGAAACAUGCAAUAACUAUAUGACAUGUCAAUAAAUUUCAAAGUAAACUUUUUCACUUCUCAAAUUAAUAAAAAUUCAACGAUGCAUGUCCCAUCUGACAGAGGAAGGACAAAAUUCAAUUCUCCUUUUACCUUUCUUAAAAAAAAGCCAUCAAGAAAUCUAGUUAAAAAAUAGAUGAAUCAGAACAGAGCAAAAAAAGGAAACAUCUCUGGUAAAAAAUUAAAGAACAGGAAUAGAACAAAAGCACUCAAUUUCUAAAAUUUUAGUAGUCAGACAUGGGAGGUAUGAUUUUUUAAGCCACAAAGGUGUAUUGGUCACAAACUGAAACAAAAUGAUUGGGAUCCAACCACUCAGCCUUGUCAACAAAGUCAUAACAAUCUUUUAACUUAAAAACUUUUAACUAGUAUUCUCAAAAACUAAUCUUUACUACAUAUAAAGUACCUUUUUUUU